CUAAUCUCUUUCUGCGCACACUCUCUUCCAACCUGCGAACAAAUUUCUUUCUUUGCGGUAGCUUCAUUUUGGGAGCCAUUAGGUUAAGAGAGACUUGAAUGGAGCUUAGGAGACUAAAUGUGAGGCAGAGAGGAAAGGAUUUUGGAAGGAAAAAUGCAAAGAUUUGAGGAGUUAAAUCACCGAUUUGGAGAAGAGGGGAUGAUUCUAGGGCAAGCUCGAACCACCCCAAAUGAGGAAGGGAGAGAAGAGGAAGUUGGUUCCUUA
rnacentral:lncRNA from 1 species